GCUGGGUCAUGGCGGGGGGGGGACAUCUAGAGACACAGGGCCCUGCUGCCUCCUGCUCCUUGAAAAGGAUGAAUAAAUUCAGAUUCACUGGGUGUGAAGUACCUGCCAUGUGCCAGCACCUUCAUGGAUGUUAGGAUGACAGCAAACACUUACGCUGGGUUUGCUCUGGGCCAGGAAUUUGACAAGAGCUCUCUUACAUGUUAAUCAAUCCUCCUAACAGCCCACUGAGAUAGCGACUGGAAUCCACACUUUAGAGAUUGGUUCACAGAGGCACGGAGAGCUUAGCUGGUCCCAAGCCCACCAGCUGCUGACUGGGAAAACCAGGACUAGGAACCCUCACUGCCUUGAACACACUCCCCGUGACAUGCCUGCCUCAGUGUCCUGCCAUCACCAUUCUAACCGUUUCAGACCUGGAGUCUCUCUAGCACCACGGACACGCUCUUUCAGGACAAACUCGCUGGCUAGUCAACAAUCGGCCACUUUUUCCUGGUGAGUCAGUGCCUCGGCUGCACUGGAGCAGUGGACCUGGCCUGCACCAACCCUCAUGGCCCAUCCUUUCUCUGCCCAGACAGCCUACUUCCCCAUCUGCAGUCCUUUGACUUCUCAGUUCAACACCCUGGCCCUGGGGAGCGAGCCUCAAGACUCCACUCCCAGGAGAACCCUCCAGGGGGCGCUCUCAUCCCCAGAGUCAAAGCUGGGCAGCGAGACUGGGAAAAAUGACUGGAAUAGAGGAACUAGCUCUGUGACCUGGACAAAAAGACAAGAAAGCAGGAGCCGUUCCAGAUGUUUCUGCUCCCUCCCGCCCCCGGCGUGGUCUGAGUGAACCCAGGGACAGGGACAGGAAGAGAUGCUCCCCAGGGACUCUGGUCCUGGCUGAGUCACCUGGCCUGGAUGUCCAGUUCACGCUACCUCUAUGUUACUCACUGACCAAGAAUAUGACUUAAUUCCCCGUGGGCGAUACCACCAGGCAUAUAAAGAAAUGGGUGAUGACCGUGACACAGAAGCUAAAAGCCUCAAUUACCCUUCGCAACAGGAACCGGGGACAUUUUUAUGAAGAGAGAAAUUUUUGCCUCAUAAAUCGCACUUGUGAGAAAUCCAGCCCACGCUGCUGGUGACCUUGUCACAUCUUCCACAGCCAGAGGCAGCCCCACAGAUGGCGGGGAUCACCUCAGCCUCACCCCUGCCCAUUAAGCCCAAGUAUGUGUUCUAGAGAGUGUAUGAGGGUCAGCCAGGGCCAGGAUGAGGCCAGGAUAGGCAGCCGGAAUGCAAGUAUAUUCCCAGCUCUCAACCUGGCUCCCUCUGUUGGUCUCAACUGCAGGGCAUGGGCAUAAGAAGAGGGUCUUUAAAAAGUCUUCUUGACGGGGUCCCACCCCCAGAGAUUCUGAUGUAACUGGUCCAGGGUUGGGCCUGGGCACUGGGAGCUUUAAAAGCCGCCCAGGUGAUUCUGAUGUACAGCCAAGUUGAGAGCUUACCCCUACCCUGCCCUGCCAGUCCAUGAAUCAACAGCAAGCUUUUAGCAAGUGCAAGCUGGUGGGAGGGGGGAGACCAGAAACAGGACACAGUUUCUGCCCAGGCUCAUUUACAUGAAGCCAUAAUGUGGACUCCCCACACCCCACGGGCAACAGAGACCCUGUGAAGAGGCCUGGGUGCAAGCACCUGGGGGAGCAGCUGCACCUGAUCUGAGCCCAGAAGCUUAGGCUGUCUAAAGGCUCCCACCCAUGCAC
ensembl:lncRNA